rnacentral:rRNA from 1 species
GGCGGCAUGCCUAACACAUGCAAGUCGAACGGAGGGCUUUGGCCCUCAGUGGCGGACGGGUGAGUAAUGCGUAGGGAUCUGCCCCGCAGUGGGGGACAACCUGGGGAAACUCAGACUAAUACCGCAUACGCUCCACGGAGGAAAGCGGGGGACCUUCGGGCCUCGCGCUGCGGGACGAACCUACGUCCGAUUAGCUAGUUGGUGGGGUAACGGCCCACCAAGGCGACGAUCGGUAGCUGGUCUGAGAGGACGGCCAGCCACUCUGGGACUGAGACACGGCCCAGACUCCUCCGGGAGGCAGCAGUGGGGAAUAUUGGACAAUGGGCGCAAGCCUGAUCCAUCAAUGCCGCGUGGGUGAAGACGGCCUGCGGGUUGUAAAGCCCUUUAGGCGGGGAAGAACGGCCGGGCGCGAUUAGCGCGCGGCUCUGACGUUACCCGCAGAAUAAGCACCGGCUAACUCCGUGCCAGCAGCCGCGCUAAUACGGAGGGUGCGAGCGUUAAUCGGAAUUACUGGGCGUAAAGCGUGCGUAGGCGGAUCGGUCAGUCAGCCGUGAAAGCCCCGGGCUCAACCUGGGAACGGCGGUUGAGACGGCCGGAGUAGAGUGGGCUAGAGGAUCGUGGAAUUCCCGGUGUAGCGGUGAAAUGCGUAGAGACCGGGAGGAACACCGAUGGCGAAGGCAGCGGUCUGGGGCCACACUGACGCUGAGGCACGAUAGCGUGGGGAGCAAACAGGAUUAGAUACCCUGGUAGUCCACGCGGUAAACUAUGAGCACUAGACGUCGGGUGGGUGACCGUCCGGUGUCGCAGCUA